GAUGAACGCUGGCGGCGUGCCUAAUACAUGCAAGUCGAACGCUGGAAAUCUAGCUUGCUAGAUUGAAGGAGUGGCGAACGGGUGAGUAAUACAUAAGCAACCUACCCACGAAGACUGGGAUAAUCUCUGGAAACGGGGACUAAUACCGGAUAGGUAAUCGGAAGGCAUCUUCUGAUUAUUAAAGGUUAAAAACACUGGUGGAUGGGCUUAUGGCGCAUUAGUUAGUUGGUGAGGUAACGGCCCACCAAGACGAUGAUGCGUAGCCGGCCUGAGAGGGUGAACGGCCACAUUGGGACUGAGACACGGCCCAGACUCCUACGGGAGGCAGCAGUAGGGAAUUUUCGGCAAUGGGGGAAACCCUGACCGAGCAAUGCCGCGUGAGUGAUGACGGCCUUCGGGUUGUAAAGCUCUGUUGUAAGGGAAGAACGGUAGAUAGAGAAUAUCUAAAUGACGGUACCUUACCAGAAAGCCACGGCUAACUACGUG
rnacentral:rRNA from 1 species